rnacentral:tRNA from 1 species
AUUUAAAUAGUUUAAAAGUAAAAUUCUAAUUUGUGGUGUUAGAGAUAUAAAAAUAUUUAUUUUAAAUU